rnacentral:ncRNA from 2 species
ACCCUCGAGGCUGUCACAGGUGGCCCGAGCGGGCCUAAGAGGGAAGGCCGUGAAAAUCGGCCGCGGACGCGCCGCUGUGACCGGCGACGACCGCCGCACGGGGCUGCCCGCGUCAAGCAGGGCGCGGGUCGGCCUCGGUCAAGCCACUGUUCCGACGCGGGGUCGGGAUGGGAAGGCGCGGCGGGAGGAUGAGGCCUCCAGACGCGGGGCACCGCAUGUGGAGCCUUGAGAGCCGGGAGCCAGAAGACCUGCCUGUGGCGAACAUACAGU